rnacentral:rRNA from 1 species
AGAAGGCAGCAGUGGGGAAUAUUGGGCAAUGGGCGAAAGCCUGACCCAGCAACGCCGCGUGAGGGAAGAAGGUUUUCGGAUUGUAAACCUCUGUCCUUGGGGACGAAAAAAAUGACGGUACCCGAGGAGGAAGCCCCGGCUAACUACGUGCCAGCAGCCGCGGUAAUACGUAGGGGGCGAGCGUUGUCCGGAAUUACUGGGCGUAAAGGGUGCGUAGGUGGUUGUCUAAGUCAGAUGUGAAAUCCCCGGGCUUAACUCGGGUGGUGCAUUUGAAACUGGGUAACUUGAGUGCAGGAGAGGGAAGCGGAAUUCCUAGUGUAGCGGUGAAAUGCGUAGAUAUUAGGAGGAACACCAGUGGCGAAGGCGGCUUUCUGGACUGUAACUGACACUGAGGCACGAAAGCGUGGGGAGCAAACAGGAUUAGAUACCCUAGU